AAUAUUUCUAACUUCAUUUUCUUUUUUAUUAUAAAAUAAUUUAUAUUAUAAAAGCAUCGGAUAGCAUCUGACGAUAUUCGAAGUGCCCAGAGUCAUAUGCAGGUGCUAAGAAACCGAAGGUUUCAAGAUUUGGAUCGGCAGUAAAAUAAUCUUUUAAAACUACUCAAAUUACAUUGCAAUUGUUUGGAAGUUAUUUGAGUACUUUCAAUGGAAGGAGUAGGUGCGUGAAUGUGAGCUAAAACAACAACAAAAAGCUGCAACAUGAAGAGGCAUUAUGGAUGCUCUGAUUUCGCGGCGUCCAAAAGGAUGGCAAAGAAAAACAAAAUCUUCAAGGAAGCCAAAAGAGCGUUGAACAACACACAACAACAAGCGAAUAGCAAAACUCAAGUAUAACGGCAAUGCAAAUUGUAGUGCAUAAUAGAAACAUAGAUAGCCAAGUUAACGGUACACAGCUGGAACGCGAAUGCUGACAAGGCGAAACAACGACUUGCUCCACUCGCUCGCAGUCGAACGCCAGCAGUGGGCACUGAACGGCAUUUUGAAUUACUGAAAUGCAUAAUUUAGAAUACAUAUUUUGGAGCUACCCAUGUUUUGCUAUGAA